CCUGCUACUGGGUCGCCUGUUGCAGG
rfam:Mangrovibacter sp. MFB070 Contig-033, whole genome shotgun sequence.